UACGUAGGGUGCAAGCGUUGUCCGGAAUUAUUGGGCGUAAAGAGUUCGUAGGCGGUUUGUCGCGUCUGCUGUGAAAACUCGGGGCUUAACUCCGGGCCUGCAGUGGGUACGGGCAGACUAGAGUGCGGUAGGGGAGACUGGAAUUCCUGGUGUAGCGGUGAAAUGCGCAGAUAUCAGGAGGAACACCGGUGGCGAAGGCGGGUCUCUGGACAGUUCCUGACACUGAGACACGAAGGCCAGGGGAGCAAACGGG
rnacentral:rRNA from 1 species